UGUUUCGGCUAGGGGGCCAUCCCGGCUUACCAACCCGAUGCAAACUGCGAAUACCGGAGAAUGUUAUCACGGGAGACACACGGCGGGUGCUAACGUCCGUCGUGAAGAGGGAAACAACCCAGACCGCCAGCUAAGGUCCCAAAGUCAUGGUUAAGUGGGAAACGAUGUGGGAAGGCCCAGACAGCCAGGAUGUUGGCUUAGAAGCAGCCAUCAUUUAAAGAAAGCGUAAUAGCUCACUGGUCGAGUCGGCCUGCGCGGAAGAUGUAACGGGGCUAAACCAUGCACCGAAGCUGCGGCAGCGACACUGUGUGUUGUUGGGUAGGGGAGCGUUCUGUAAGCCUGCGAAGGUGGCCUGUGAGGGUUGCUGGAGGUAUCAGAAGUGCGAAUGCUGACAUAAGUAACGAUAAAGCGGGUGAAAAGCCCGCUCGCCGGAAGACCAAGGGUUCCUGUCCAACGUUAAUCGGGGCAGGGUGAGUCGACCCCUAAGGCGAGGCCGAAAGGCGUAGUCGAUGGGAAACGGGUUAAUAUUCCCGUACUUGGUGUUACUGCGAAGGGGGGACGGAGAAGGCUAUGUUGGCCGGGCGACGGUUGUCCCGGUUUAAGCGUGUAGGCUGGUUUUCCAGGCAAAUCCGGAAAAUCAAGGCUGAGGCGUGACGACGAGGCACUACGGUGCUGAAGCAACAAAUGCCCUGCUUCCAGGAAAAGCCUCUAAGCAUCAGGUAACAUCAAAUCGUACCCCAAACCGACACAGGUGGUCAGGUAGAGAAUACCAAGGCGCUUGAGAGAACUCGGGUGAAGGAACUAGGCAAAAUGGUGCCGUAACUUCGGGAGAAGGCACGCUGACAUGUAGGUGAAGUGAUUUACUCAUGGAGCUGAAGUCAGUCGAAGAUACCAGCUGGCUGCAACUGUUUAUUAAAAACACAGCACUGUGCAAACACGAAAGUGGACGUAUACGGUGUGACGCCUGCCCGGUGCCGGAAGGUUAAUUGAUGGGGUCAGCGCAAGCGAAGCUCCUGAUCGAAGCCCCGGUAAACGGCGGCCGUAACUAUAACGGUCCUAAGGUAGCGAAAUUCCUUGUCGGGUAAGUUCCGACCUGCACGAAUGGCGUAAUGAUGGCCAGGCUGUCUCCACCCGAGACUCAGUGAAAUUGAACUCGCUGUGAAGAUGCAGUGUACCCGCGGCAAGACGGAAAGACCCCGUGAACCUUUACUAUAGCUUGACACUGAACAUUGAGCCUUGAUGUGUAGGAUAGGUGGGAGGCUUUGAAGUGUGGACGCCAGUCUGCAUGGAGCCG
rnacentral:rRNA from 1 species